AUUGAACGCUGGCGGCAUGCUUUACACAUGCAAGUCGAACGGUAACAGGGUGCUUGCACCGCUGACGAGUGGCGAACGGGUGAGUAAUGCGUCGGAACGUGCCGAGUAGUGGGGGAUAACGCAGCGAAAGUUGUGCUAAUACCGCAUACGUACUGAGGUAGAAAGUGGGGGACCUUCGGGCCUCACGCUAUUCGAGCGGCCGACGUCUGAUUAGCUAGUAGGUGGGGUAAAGGCUCACCUAGGCGGCGAUCAGUAGCGGGUCUGAGAGGAUGGUCCGCCACACUGGAGCUGAGACACGGCCCAGACUCCGACGGGAGGCAGCAGUGGGGAAUUUUGGACAAUGGGCGAAAGCCUGCUCCAGCCAUGCCGCGUGUCUGAAGAAGGCCUUCGGGUUGUAAAGGACUUUUGUCAGGGAGGAAAUCCCUAGUGCUAAUAACACUGGGGGAUGACAGUACCUGAAGAAUAAGCACCGGCUAACUACGUGCCAGCCGCCGCGGUAA
rnacentral:rRNA from 1 species